UGCCAGACUCCUACGGGAGGCAGCAGUAAGGGAUAUUGGUCAAUGGGGGAAACCCUGAACCAGCAACGCCGCGUGAGGGAAGACGGUUUUCGGAUUGUAAACCUCUGUCCUCUGUGAAGAUGAUGACGGUAGCAGAGGAGGAAGCUCCGGCUAACUACGUGCCAGCAGCCGCGGUAAUACGUAGGGAGCGAGCGUUGUCCGGAAUUACUGGGUGUAAAGGGAGCGUAGGCGGGAUUGCAAGUUGGAUGUGAAAACUGCGGGCUCAACCCGGAGCGUGCAUUCAAAACUGCGAUUCUUGAGUGAAGUAGAGGCAAGCGGAAUUCCUAGUGUAGCGGUGAAAUGCGUAGAUAUUAGGAGGAACACCAGUGGCGAAGGCGGCUUGCUGGGCUUUUACUGACGCUGAGGCUCGAAAGUGUGGGGAGCAAACAGGAUUAGAUACCCUUGUAAA
rnacentral:rRNA from 1 species